UAAGGGGUUUGUGGUAUAUGGCCAAUAUACCACGGCUAAGGGCUGUUCUUAGGCAGAACGCAACACAGAGUGCCUGGAGGUGCCUUAUUGCUAUUAUAAACUGGUUACCAACAUAAUUAGAGAAGUAAAAAUAAUUGUUUUGACAUACCCGUGGUAUACGGUCUGAUAUAUCACAGCAUCAGCCAAUCAGCAUUUAGGGCUCGAACCACCCAGUUUCUAAAUAUAUAUAUAUACGCCUGUAGAUAACAACAACGUUACUGUCAUUAAGUUUAUUCAGAAAGGGAAUGUGUCUGUGGAAUAAAUGACGUGGCUCGUAGACGUUUAUAUAAUGUUUCUGUCAUAUAUUUUAUCUCCUAAAGAUGAGUUUCAACCUGGCUUCAUCACGUUCAGAGCCAUAAAUACCGAACGAGCAGCCACGGCCAUCUGCUCUGGGGUCAAACCAAUCGGCUGCAACGCUGAACAUUACUGUAUAGGUGGUGGUGGACACUUCCCUGAGGCUGCUCCCAUACAGUGUGGUGACUUCACUGGCUUUGACGGGAACGGUUACGGGACCAACAUAGGCUGGAGUGCGUCCAGGGAGAUCACCGAAGCUGCUGUGCUGCUCUUCUACCGUUAAAUUCCAUCCUAAAACCGUUUACUAUGUUCUAUACACUGUAAGGAAUACAACUAUAUUGUCCAAAAGAAACUAACCAUUCUAUGGUAUUGAAUAGAAAACUAACCAUUCUAUGGUAUUGAAUAGAAAACUAACCAUUCCAUGGUGUUGAAUAGAAAACUAACCAUUCUCUGGUAUUGAAUAGAAAACUAACCAUUCCAUGGUAUUGAAUAGAAAACUAACCAUUCCAUGGUAUUGAAUAGAAAACUAACCAUUCCAUGGUAUUGAAUAGAAAACUAACCAUUCUAUGGUAUUGAAUAGAAAACUAACCAUUCCAUGGUAUUGAAUAGAAAACUAACCAUUCCAUGGUAUUGAAUAGAAAACUAACCAUUCUAUGGUAUUGAAUAGAAAACUAACCAUUCCAUGGUAUUGAAUAGAAAACUAACCAUUCCAUGGUAUUGAAUAGAAAACUAACCAUUCCAUGGUAUUGAAUAGAAAACUAACCAUUCCAUGGUAUUGAAUAGAAAACUAACCAUUCUAUGGUAUUGAAUAGAAAACUAACCAUUCCAUGGUAUUGAAUAGAAAACUAACCAUUCCAUGGUAUUGAAUAGAAAACGAACCAUUCCAUGGUAUUGAAUAGAAAACUAACCAUUCCAUGGUAUUGAAUAGAAAACUAACCAUUCCAUGGUAUUGAAUAGAAAACUAACCAUUCCAUGGUAUUGAAUAGAAAACUAACCAUUCCAUGGUAUUGAAUAGAAAACUAACCAUUCUAUGGUAUUGAAUAGAAAACUAACCAUUCCAUGGUAUUGAAUAGAAAACUAACCAUUCCAUGGUAUUGAAUAGAAAACUAACCAUUCCAUGGUAUUGAAUAGAAAACUAACCAUUCCAUGGUAUUGAAUAGAAAACUAACCAUUCCAUGGUAUUGAAUAGGAAACUAACCAUUCUAUGGUAUUGAAUAGAAAACUAACCAUUCCAUGGUAUUGAAUAGAAAACUAACCAUUCCAUGGUAUUGAAUAGAAAACUAACCAUUCCAUGGUAUUGAAUAGAAAACUAACCAUUCCAUGGUAUUGAAUAGAAAACUAACCAUUCCAUGGUAUUGAAUAGGAAACUAACCAUUCCAUGGUAUUGAAUAGAAAACUAACCAUUCCAUGGUAUUGAAUAGAAAACUAACCAUUCCAUGGUAUUGAAUAGAAAACUAACCAUUCCAUGGUAUUGAAUAGAAAACUAACCAUUCCAUGGUAUUGAAUAGAAAACUAACCAUUCCAUGGUAUUGAAUAGAAAACUAACCAUUCUAUGGUAUUGAAUAGAAAACUAACCAUUCCAUGGUAUUGAAUAGAAAACUAACCAUUCCAUGGUAUUGAAUAGAAA